rnacentral:rRNA from 1 species
AUUGAACGCUGGCGGCAUGCCUUACACAUGCAAGUCGAACGGUAACAGGUCUUCGGAUGCUGACGAGUGGCGAACGGGUGAGUAAUACAUCAGAACGUGCCCAGACGUGGGGGAUAACGAGGCGAAAGCUUUGCUAAUACCGCAUACGAUCUAAGGAUGAAAGCAGGGGACCGCAAGGCCUUGCGCGUUUGGAGCGGCCGAUGGCAGAUUAGGUAGUUGGUGGGAUAAAAGCUUACCAAGCCGACGAUCUGUAGCUGGUCUGAGAGGACGACCAGCCACACUGGGACUGAGACACGGCCCAGACUCCUACGGGAGGCAGCAGUGGGGAAUUUUGGACAAUGGGCGAAAGCCUGAUCCAGCAAUGCCGCGUGCAGGAUGAAGGCCUUCGGGUUGUAAACUGCUUUUGUACGGAACGAAAAGGCUCUGGCUAAUACCUGGGGCACAUGACGGUACCGUAAGAAUAAGCACCGGCUAACUACGUG